GUAUUAAAGGUGCUGCCUGCCCAGUGAGACAUUUCAACGGCCGCGGUAUCCUAACCGUGCAAAGGUAGCGUAAUCACUUGUCUUUUAAAUAAAGACUUGUAUGAAAGGCUAAAUGAAGACGAAACUGUCUCCUAUAGUCGACCAGUAAAACUGAUCUCCAAGUACAAAAGCUUGGAUAAACACAUAAGACGAGAAGACCCUGUGGAGCUUAAAACUAUACUAUUACAGCAAAUAGCCCUAGUUUUAAGUUGGGGCGACUUCGGAACAAAACAAAACUUCCGAGCACAGAGCCAACAACUCUAACACAGACCAACAAGUCAAAGAACAGCAACGACCCAGUCACACUGAGCAACGAACCAAGUUACCCCAGGGAUAACAGCGCCAUCUUCUUCAAGAGUCCCUAUCGACAAGAAGGUUUACGACCUCGAUGUUGGAUCAGGACACCCAAAUGGUGCAGAAG
rnacentral:rRNA from 1 species